CGAGACCGAUAGCAAACAAGUACUGUGAAGGAAAGUUGCAAAGCACUUUGAAGAGAGAGUUAAAGAGGACGUGAAACCGGUAAGGUGGAAACGGAUAGAGUCGGCGUAUCAUUCAAUUAUUCAGUUACAUUAUUUUUAUGUUGUGACCUCUGAGCUCCAGAUUGGGACAGAGGGAAUCAGCAUAAUUUUUUGUGGUGCAUUUACUUGAUUGGUGCUUGGGGAUGUUUGAGGCAGAUUUGUUUCCGUCGUUUUGAGGCCAGCUUGCUGGUACCCAAACGGUGUUAGCAUUUUUUGUCUUGGGCAUUUGAGUAUGGCUCACGUGUAUUUAUUGGACAGAUCUUAGUGUAAGUUACGGUCGCAUGCGACACGUGCUUUUCAAUUAGUUCGGUCCAGUUAAUGCUCUCGUACUCGUUCCCCAUGUAAAAGCCGGUCAUCUAUCCGACCCGUCUUGAAACACGGACCAAGGAGUUUAUCGUGUGCGCAAGUUUUUGGGUGUUAAAAACUUAAAAGCGAAAUGAAAGUAAAUGACUCUUUAGAGUCUGAUGUGCGAUCUUGUAAAAAAGUGUAGCAUGGCCCCAUUCUAACUGUUUACAGUAGGGUGGCGGAAGAGCGUACGCGGUGAGACCCGAAAGAUGGUGAACUAUUCCUGAGCAGGACGAAGCCAGAGGAAACUCUGGUGGAAGUCCGAAGCGGUUCUGACGUGCAAAUCGAUCGUCUGACUUGGGUAUAGGGGCGAAAGACUAAUCGAACCAUCUAGUAGCUGGUUCCCUCUGAAGUUUCCCCCAGGAUAGCUGGAGCUCAAGAGUAGUUAUACUCGGUAAAGCGAAUGAUUAGAGGACUUGGGAACGAAAUGUUCUUAACCUAUUCUCAAACUCUAAAUGGGUAUGAUGUCAAAGUUGCUUGAUUUUGAACUUUGGCGUUGAAUACGAGCUCCAAGUGGGCCAUUUUUGGUAAGCAGAACUGGCGAUGUGGGAUGAACCAAACGCGGAGUUGCGGUGCCAAAGUACCCGCUCAUUAGACCCCAUAAAAGGUGUUGGUUGAUACAGACAGCAGGACGGUGGCCAUGGAAGUCGGAAUCCGCUAAGGAGUGUGUAACAACUCACCUGCCGAAUCAACUAGCCCUGAAAAUGGAUGGCGCUGGAGCGGGUCACCUAUACUCUGCCGUCAUAAGCUUGUAUUUUGUAAAAAGUCUUGCAAUGACGUGUAAGAGGGUCGUAGUGGUUGCGUUGAAGGCUUUGGGUGUGCACCCAGCUGGAGCUUCCACUAGUGCAGAUCUUGGUGGUAGUAGCAAAUAUUCAAGUGAGAUCCUUGAAGACUGAAGUGGAGAAGGGUUCCACGUGAACAGCAGUU
rnacentral:rRNA from 1 species